CUGGUUGAUCCUGCCAGACCCGACCGCUAUCGGGGUAGGGCUAAGCCAUGCGAGUCGCGCGCCCGGGGGCACCCGGGAGCGGCGCACGGCUCAGUAACACGUGCCUAACCUACCCUCGGGAGGGGGAUACCCCCGGGAAACUGGGGAUAAUCCCCCAUAGGGGAAGGGCGCUGGAAGGCCCCUUCCCCCAAAGGGGCGGCGGCCGACCCGCCGCCGUCCGCCCGAGGAUGGGGGCACGGCCCAUCAGGUAGUUGGCGGGUUAAAGGCCCGCCAAGCCGAAGACGGGUAGGGGCGGUGAGAGCCGUGAGCCCCGAGAUCGGCACUGAGACAAGGGCCGAGGCCCUACGGGGCGCAGCAGGCGCGAAUACUCCGCAAUGCGGGCAACCGCGACGGGGCUACCCCGAGUGCCGGGCGAAGAGCCCGGCUUUUGCCCCGUCUAAAAGCCAGGCGAAUAAGCGGGGGGCUAGUCUGGUGUCAGCCGCGGCGGUAAUACCAGCUACGCGAGACCGGGGUCUCCCGCGUAAAAGAUUUGACCCCUCUCCCCCCAUGAGUUCCGCAGCUUAGAAGCGGCCGUUGCUGGAGUCGUAAAAAAGGGGCGACAUGCCGCAACACGRCAAGAGAAGAGGCUAUGGGGUCCAAAUAGCUACACGAGCCAUGCAUCAAGUCUCAUUGGCGUAUUGMCUAGCGUCGUCAAACUUGGAGAUGCAUGGCGACUUAGGGCAUACAAAAAGAGCCCUACUAGCGACUAGACACGAAACAAGGCAGAGCCACAAACAAAGACGUGUCUAUUAAGCGGAUACUAGCCAGACACACGCUACCCCCCCUCCCCUUUAUCCUUACGCGGGAACCCCGGCGCGAGUGGUCGGGGUGUUUACUGGGCUUAAAGCGCCCGUAGCCGGCCCGGCAAGUCGCUCCUGAAAUCCCCGGGCUCAACCCGGGGGCGGGGGGCGAUACUGCCGGGCUAGGGGGCGGGAGAGGCCGCCGGUACUCCGGGGGUAGGGGCGAAAUCCGUUAAUCCCCGGAGGACCACCAGUGGCGAAAGCGGGCGGCCAGAACGCGCCCGACGGUGAGGGGCGAAAGCCGGGGGAGCAAACCGGGCUCAAGGCCGGCUGGGUAGGAGUUUUACCGAAAUYGCGGGAAUCAAAAGAUAGUUGAGAUCCCCAUGCCGGCCUGGCCCGGGCUCAGAGGGGAUUAGAUACCCCUGUAGUCCCGGCCGUAAACGAUGCGGGCUAGCUGUCGGUCGGGCUUAGGGCCCGGCCGGUGGCGAAGGGAAACCGCUAAGCCCGCCGCCUGGGGAGUACGGCCGCAAGGCUGAAACUUAAAGGAAUUGGCGGGGGGGCACCAC
rnacentral:rRNA from 1 species